rnacentral:rRNA from 1 species
GUGGGGAAUUGUUCGCAAUGGGCGCAAGCCUGACGACGCAACGCCGCGUGGAGGAUGAAGGUCUUCGGAUUGUAAACUCCUGUUGCCCGGGACGAAAUGUUCAGACCUAACACGUCUGAGUUUGACGGUACCGGGUGAGGAAGCCCCGGCUAACUCUGUGCCAGCAGCCGCGGUAAUACAGAGGGGGCAAGCGUUGUUCGGAAUUACUGGGCGUAAAGGGCGCGUAGGCGGCCCUCUAAGUCGAACGUGAAAUCCCUGGGCUCAACCCAGGAACUGCGUCCGAGACUGGGGGGCUUGAAUCCGGGAGAGGGAUGUGGAAUUCCAGGUGUAGCGGUGAAAUGCGUAGAUAUCUGGAGGAACAUCGGUGGCGAAGGCGGCAUCCUGGACCGGUAUUGACGCUGAGGCGCGAAAGCCAGGGGAGCAAACGGGAUUAGAAACCCCAGUAGUCC